UGGGGAAUAUUGCGCAAUGGGCGAAGGCCUGACGCAGCGACGCCGCGUGAGUGAUGAAGGCCUUAGGGUUGUAAAGCUCUUUCGGCGGGGAAGAUAAUGACGGUACCCGCAGAAGAAGCCCCGGCUAACUUCGUGCCAGCAGCCGCGGUAAUACGAAGGGGGCUAGCGUUGCUCGGAAUCACUGGGCGUAAAGCGCACGUAGGCGGCUUACUAAGUCAGGGGUGAAAUCCUGGAGCUCAACUCCAGAACUGCCUUUGAUACUGGUGAGCUUGAGUUCGGGAGAGGUGAGUGGAACUGCGAGUGUAGAGGUGAAAUUCGUAGAUAUUCGCAAGAACACCAGUGGCGAAGGCGGCUCACUGGCCCGAUACUGACGCUGAGGUGCGAAAGCGUGGGGAGCAAACA
rnacentral:rRNA from 1 species